rnacentral:rRNA from 1 species
GAUGAACGCUGGCGGCGUGCCUAAUACAUGCAAGUCGAGCGAACAGACGAGGAGCUUGCUCCUCUGACGUUAGCGGCGGACGGGUGAGUAACACGUGGAUAACCUACCUAUAAGACUGGGAUAACUUCGGGAAACCGGAGCUAAUACCGGAUAAUAUAUUGAACCGCAUGGUUCAAUAGUGAAAGACGGUUUUGCUGUCACUUAUAGAUGGAUCCGCGCCGCAUUAGCUAGUUGGUAAGGUAACGGCUUACCAAGGCAACGAUGCGUAGCCGACCUGAGAGGGUGAUCGGCCACACUGGGACUGAGACACGGUCCAGACUCCUACGGGAGGCAGCAGUAGGGAAUCUUCCGCAAUGGGCGAAAGCCUGACGGAGCAACGCCGCGUGAGUGAUGAAGGUCUUCGGAUCGUAAAACUCUGUUAUUAGGGAAGAACAAAUGUGUAAGUAACUAUGCACGUCUUGACGGUACCUAAUCAGAAAGCCACGGCUAACUACG